UACAGAGGGGGCGAGCGUUGUUCGGAAUUACUGGGCGUAAAGGGCGCGUAGGCGGCCUGCUAAGUCGGACGUGAAAUCCCUGGGCUCAACCCAGGAACUGCGUCCGAUACUGGUUGGCCUGAAUCCGGGAGAGGGAUGUGGAAUUCCAGGUGUAGCGGUGAAAUGCGUAGAUAUCUGGAGGAACACCGGUGGCGAAGGCGCCGCUCUGGGCCGAAACUGACGCUGAGGAGCGAAAGCAUGGGUAGCAAACAGG
rnacentral:rRNA from 1 species